rnacentral:rRNA from 1 species
AGAGUUUGAUCAUGGCUCAGGAUGAACGCUAGCUACAGGCUUAACACAUGCAAGUCGAGGGGAAACGACAUCGAAAGCUUGCUUUUGAUGGGCGUCGACCGGCGCACGGGUGAGUAACGCGUAUCCAACCUGCCCAUCACUUGGGGAUAACCUUGCGAAAGUAAGACUAAUACCCAAUGAUAUCUCUAGAAGACAUCUGAAAGAGAUUAAAGAUUUAUCGGUGAUGGAUGGGGAUGCGUCUGAUUAGCUUGUUGGCGGGUAACGGCCCACAAGGCUACGAUCAGUAGGGGUUCUGAGAGGAAGGUCCCCCANAUUGGAACUGAGACACGGUCCAAACUCCGUACGGGAGCA